rnacentral:rRNA from 1 species
CGACUCUCGGCAACGGAUAUCUUGGCUCUCGCAUCGAUGAAGAACGCAGCGAAAUGCGAUACUUGGUGUGAAUUGCAGAAUCCCGUGAACCAUCGAGUCUUUGAACGCAAGUUGCGCCCGAGGCCAUCCGGCCGAGGGCACGC